UGACUUAAAAGUUAUAGGCAUAUAUAUACAUAUGUGUAUAUAUACAUGAUUAAAACGACUCUUUUCUUAAGAAGUAUUUAAAUGACCAAGAAGAUUGAACUGGGAAAUUUUCCUUCAUAUCAGGACGUUAUUGGUUUAUAAGGAGGACUGAAGUUAGGAUUUUUUUUUUGUUUAUAUUCAAGCAAUUUGCUUUUACGUUGUCCUUGAAGUGUGCCUGUAGGAUUGGGCUUUCUUUAGUUAUAUCUUGCAUGUUUAAUGUCUUUGCUGGAUCCUUUUCCAUGUUAAGGAGAGCAAUUACUCCUUGUAUUGUAUGAAAGUGCUUAUAUAGUUGGGUUAAAAUGGUUGCAAAUAUUUGUGUAAAUGCAUGUCUGUAAUUACUUGGAGAGACAGAUUUAUGGUCCUCCAGGGUUCUGGAAAACCAGAUUGCUGCUUCUAGAAUAAAGGGACAAAUUUAAGCUUCUAUCUGUUCAAGCAUGCAUAAAGUCAUUCAUAAAUGUGGGCAUGUGCUUGUAUGAGGGUGCAUGAAUGUGCAUGCUGGUGUUGUGUUAAUUUCACUCGUUAUUUUAUCAUCUUUCUCUUCUAUAACAAUAAUUUUCGUGCACCUUUACCAGUGAGUAGGGAGGUUUAAGUAAGCAUCAUAGUUGUCCAUGUAACUAAAAUCCAGAAAAUAGGGGUUAUUGUUCCAAUAACUUUAGUAGUAUUGAAGACAAUAUAUUGUUGGUUUGAACAGUCUAAUGUGUUUCCUCUUUGAUAAAUUUGUCACAUUGUUGUGUUUUUGCUCUAAUAAUAUAUAAAUCUAUAUAUAUUUUAUUACAAAAAAUAUAUAUAUAUAUAUUAUGUUUGUUUGCAUCUUAUCUUUGUUGGCCGAGUAUCUCCAUGAUAAUUUGUUGUACUAGUUCACUAAUAUUUCUAAGAAACUGGGUCAGUUUGAUGAUAUAUUUCUUGGUUCCCAUCUAGAAAUUGCAAGGAAUAAGUCUAUUUUUCCAUUAAGGCAUAACGUUAAAGCCUCUAGGUGGUAAGGAGCUUUAGGCUUUUGGGUAGGUGAUGCAGCAGCAUGCCAACAAGUUUGAUGGCUUAAUGGGUUAUGAAGUAUAGUAUAACCUUCUGUUUUGCAGGUUUCUCAAUUUCUGGUUUUUUAUGACCCAGUAAACCAAUUGCAUAGUAGCCAAAUGGUAGUAAAUAGAAGAAAUAAAGAGGUGGUUCUUUUCAUGUUUUCUUUACAAUUCCCUUUUGUUCUGUUGGCCCAAUGGAUGCCAUUUGCUGAAUCUCAAAUGUAAAAAUGUAUGUUGGAGCGCUUUGAAGCUGUUUUUUCAAUUUCAAAAUUAAUAUAGAUUUGAGCUGCUGGCUUUUGGAGAAGGUGUUAAUAUGGCAAAGUGUCUGGUUUCUCAACUUCAAAAUCAGAGUAGCUACCCGAUUAUGUACUUGGUCAUGUAGGAGGUUGGGAAUAGUCGAACAGCAGAGUGUUUCUAGGAGAGUAGGCAUUUGGAGGAGUCUUUCCAAUGGCAUGUUCAUUUAUUCUAGGGAUGAUAGCCAUGCAAUUCAUUGUUACAGAAGUUCUUUAUGAAGUCCCAAUACAACAGUAUGCUUUCUCGGUGAUCUUGGUUUCCAUAGAAAAAGAUCUAGCAGAGUAGGGCAUCAUCUUGAAUUACAUUUUUGGAGAAGGGUGACUUGCGGUAGAGCCUUUUACUGCAGACGAUUUAUGGGUAAGACGGGAAAAAAUUUGCUACUGGUCGUCUUUUGUGUCUUUGAGAGUAUUAAUCCUCUCUUCAUCUCUUUCUUUGGUGUUUCGAGAUUACAACCACCAUGUGCAACUUGUCCUCCAUUUUUACUGCUUGGCUUGGUUGAAGAUGAAGUUUGGGCUUACUACUGCCUGGAAGUGGAAGAGAGGGCUUAGAAUUUGUGAAUCUAGGGAGAGAGUUUUCUACCAU
rnacentral:lncRNA from 1 species